UACGGAGGGUGCAAGCAUUAAUCGGAUUUAUUGGGCGUAAAGGGCGCGUAGGCGGAGAUAAAAGUCAGAUGUGAAAUCCCCGGGGCUCAACCUCGGAACAGCAUUUGAAAACUCUAUUUCUAGAGGGGUAGGCGGAGAAAACGGAAUUCCACAAGUAGCGGUGAAAUGCGUAGAUAUGUGGAAGAACACCGGUGGCGAAGGCGGUUUUC
rnacentral:rRNA from 1 species